AGCGAACGCUGGCGGCAGGCUUAACACAUGCAAGUCGAACGGGCGUAGCAAUACGUCAGUGGCAGACGGGUGAGUAACGCGUGGGAACGUACCUUUUGGUUCGGAACAACCCAGGGAAACUUGGGCUAAUACCGGAUAAGCCCUUACGGGGAAAGAUUUAUCGCCGAAAGAUCGGCCCGCGUCUGAUUAGCUAGUUGGUGUGGUAACGGCGCACCAAGGCGACGAUCAGUAGCUGGUCUGAGAGGAUGAUCAGCCACAUUGGGACUGAGACACGGCCCAAACUCCUACGGGAGGCAGCAGUGGGGAAUAUUGGACAAUGGGCGCAAGCCUGAUCCAGCCAUGCCGCGUGAGUGAUGAAGGCCCUAGGGUUGUAAAGCUCUUUCACCCGCGACGAUGAUGACGGUAGCGGGAGAAGAAGCCCCGGCUAACUUCGUGCCAGCAGCCGCGGUAAC
rnacentral:rRNA from 1 species